AGGCCGAGCGGCAAUUAAGUGAUAAGCGACGACGACUAUCAGAAAAAGCACAAAGUAUAAUGGUUCGCCUAUUGACCUAAUCGCCAAAGACUUUCAAAGGCGCACAGUGGUGUUGUUGCCGUGGGCAGUGAAUCUGUUUGGUAAGCAAGAUUACAUCAAAUCACACAACGCAAGCGCAAUUAAUAUGUGUCUGGAACAAAGCGAAUGAAUGGUGAAAGUGUUCAUGAGCGGUGUGUUCAUUUGAAAAAGUGCACCCAAAGAGAGACUGCAACAGGCAGAACAAGCGUGAUCUUUUGCAUUCCGACAGGGGCACGGCAGUGGACUGAGUGUCCUUUUCGUCCUUCUUUACCUGCGGUCCAGGCAAGGACGUGCGCUAUUGGUUGAGGGAGGCAAACGAGAAGGGAGAAACGCAGCCGAAAAUGUACGCCAAGCUGAACGGUCGCACUGUUGCUGGGAACGGACGAAGGUACCACCAACAGCAUAGCUACUGCUGGCUGCUGGCCUGGAUAAGUGCAGCAUUUUUGCUCGCGUCUAGACACACCGGCAUAAUGCCUUGCCUGAGCGUACGAAACAAUGAAUGCUCCAUCUGUCAGCACAAUAUUGCCGGGACGCAGCGGCUGGAGGCGCUCUGUGGCCAUACGUUCCAUCGCCACUGUCUGGCAUUGUGGAUGCGCACGUACGCCUUUUGUCCCGACUGUCCGCGAAGGAUGUAGCUCGUUAGAGCGAGCGAGCGUGACGAAAUCGGGGCGCAUUAUACUGGCUCUGACUGAUUGGCAAACAAGCACGGACCACAGAGCGUGCGAACUCAACACGCCCCUAUCCAUUGGGGGAUCAACAGCGUAUAGUUGUAAGGUUUAGAAAAGAUAAUUUAGUUUCUUUCUACUUUUUGUACGACUUUCUACGUACCGCAAAGUAUUGUACUUUUUAAAAAUGGUUUGUAAAGUGAAAAUAAACAUGUGUGUGCAUGACUAAGGUAUUUGAAAAUGGU